CAGCCGCCGCGGUAAUACCAGCGCCUCAAGUGGUAUCCACGAAUAUUGGGCCUAGAGCGUCCGUAGCCGGAUAAAUGAGUCCACUGUGAAAUGUUGGAGCUUAACUCUAACGCGUGCAGUAGAUACCGUUUGUCUUGGGAACGGGGGAGGAUCGGAGUACUUCCAGGGUAGGGGUAAAAUCCGUUGAGCCUGGAAGGACUACCAGUGGCGAAGGCGCCGAUCCAAAACGUGUCCGACGGUGAGGGACGAAAGCUGGGGUAGCGAACGGGAUUAGAUACCCCGGUAGUCCCAGCUGUAAAUGAUGCAGACUUUGGUGUUGCAUGUGAGUAAUCAUGUGCAGUGCUGUAGCGUAGGUAUUAAGUCUGCCGCCUGGGGAGUACGAUCGCAAGAUUUAAACUUAAAGGAAUUGGCGGGGGAGCACCACAAGCCGUGGAUGCUACGGUUUAAUUGGAUACAACGCCGGAAAUAUCACCAGAAGCGACGGCAGAAUGAAGGCCAGACUAACGAUCUUGCCUGACGAGCCGAGAAGUAUUGCAUGGCCAUCGUCAGCUCGUGGUGUGAACAUGUUCAGUUCUUACUGUUCUGUUCAUGAGCAUAAACUGUCCAGUUAAGUCUGGCAACGAGCGAGACCCAUGCCUUUAGUUACUAACUUUUCCUCAGGGAGAGGUGUACUCUAAAGGGACUGCCCGUGCUAAAUGGGAGGAAGGAGUGGGCGACGGUAGGUCAGUAUGGUCCGAAACUUCUGGGCUACACGCUGCAUACAAUGGUCGGCACAAUGGGCCGCGACGCCGAGAGGCGGAGCUAAUCCCCGAAAACCGGUCUAAGUUCGGAUUGAGGGUUGCAACUCACCCUCAUGAAGCUGGAAUGGCUAGUAAUCGCGGGUCACUAUCCUGCGGUGAAUGUGUCCCUGCCCCUUGCACAC
rnacentral:rRNA from 1 species